GAUGAACGCUGGCGGCGUGCCUAAUACAUGCAAGUCGAGCGAAUGGAUUGAGAGCUUGCUCUUAUGAAGUUAGCGGCGGACGGGUGAGUAACACGUGGGUAACCUGCCCAUAAGACUGGGAUAACUCCGGGAAACCGGGGCUAAUACCGGAUAACAUUUUGAACCGCAUGGUUCGAAAUUGAAAGGCGGCUUCGGCUGUCACCUAUGGAUGGAACCGCGUCGUAUUAGCUAGUUGGUGAGGUAACGGCUCACCAAGGCAACGAUGCGUAGCCGACCUGAGAGGGUGAUCGGCCACACUGGGACUGAGACACGGCCCAGACUCCUACGGGAGGCAGCAGUAGGGAAUAUUCCGCAAUGGACGAAAGUCUGACGGAGCAACGCCGCGUGAGUGAUGAAGGCUUCGGGUCGUAAAACUCUGUUGUUAGGGAAGAACAAGUGCUAGUUGAAUAAGCUGGCACCUUGACGGUACCUAACCAGAAAGCCACGGCUAACUACGUGCCAGCCGCCGCCGUAG
rnacentral:rRNA from 1 species